UUUUACAGAUAAAGAAAUGGAGGCCACGAGCUGGAGAACUGUGUGCUCAAGUUGCACAGCUAUUAACAGACUGAGCAGGGACUCCCGGCCAGCAGUGUGGCUCCAGCUGGUUUCCAGCUUCCGCUUCUUGGCAACCACCUUCACAGAGGAAUGCAAGAGGCAAGCGGUGCCCGAGCCCCUGCGUGUCUUCAGAUCUUCACAGCACAGUUCCUGAGAAGGUGGAGCCAUCAGCCUCUCCCUGGUGAGUAUGUGUCUGUCAUUUUUAGGGUCACUUCUGCAGUUUGCCUUGGAGUCUGAGCUAUGGGAAAGGCUGCUGCGUCCUGGGGGGCACACUGCAUAUCUUUCAGACUUUGAAGAUCUGUCGUUUUAGAAAAGUGGCUGCCUGUGCCCUCAGGCCCGCGGUUGCUGUCUUGUAGUGUGACUGUCACGAGGUGUUUCUCAGUCCUUGGUUGUGAGGAUACAGAUGCCUGUUGCACAUUAUGUUGUCUUGGAAGAGAUUGUGGUGCUUGGCUGGAGAAUAAGCUGCUCGGGACUCUGAGAAGCUGAAGUGAAGCUUAGAGAUGGAAGUGGGUAUACUUGUGCUAACCCAGGGGUGCUGAGGUUGGCUGAGCUUCCGCUUCGCAGAGGUGGAGGAGAGGCGGCUCCUGAGCCAUUUCUGGCCCCGAGGUCUGAGCUGCCCAAUUUCAGUGCAAGAAAUACCAGAGAGGCAGAACUUUGGCUGCCUUCUCUAAAAGCAUAUGAAUGAUUGCAGGAGUUAGUUUACGUCCCUUCCUUUUUCUUAACAUUAAUAGUCAUAAACUGUGGUAAAAUCAGGAAGAAUGUAAAAAGCUGGGGGCCAGAGCUGGGGGUGGGGGACUGGGGAGGACUGAGGAGGGAGCAGCUCAGUCUUUGAGCCUGACUUGAUCUUGUUAGGUAUUUCUCAGGUUGUUAGUAUUCUGAUGAAGCUUAGCUUUACUGUCAAGUAAAAUACAGGAAACACUUUUUUAAAAUGUUGUUCUAGUUACUGUAAAUGAAACGGUUAAAAUAUCAUAAAUACCUUAUGGUAAACAAUUUUCAAAUUUGCUUAAAAAGCAGCACAUCAGUAGGCAGGGCAUGACAGGAGCUUUUUCAGUACAGUCAUUUGAGUGUGUGGGCUUCCUGGGUUAAUAAUGAGUCAGCACCCAAUUUCUAAAAUUGGAGCUGCUAAGAGAAUGUUCAGUCUGCCCCUUAGUACA
rnacentral:lncRNA from 13 species